CCUACGGGGCGCAGCAGUGAGGAAUAUUGGUCAAUGGGCGCGAGCCUGAACCAGCCAAGUAGCGUGAAGGAUGACUGCCCUACGGGUUGUAAACUUCUUUUAUAAAGGAAUAAAGUGAGGCACGUAUGCCUUUUUGUAUGUACUUUAUGAAUAAGGAUCGGCUAACUCCGCGCCAGCAGCCGCGGUAAGACGGAGGAUCCGAGCGUUAUACGGAUUUAUUGGGUUUAAAGGGAGCGUAGAGGGGUUGUUAAGUCAGUUGUGAAAGUUUGCGGCUCAACCGUAAAAUUGCAAUUGAUACUGGCAGCGUAGAGUACAGUUGAGGUAGGCGGAAUUCGUGGUGUAGCGGUGAAAUGCUUAGAUAUCACGAAGAACUCCGAUUGCGAAGGCAGCCUACUAAACUGCCACUGACAUUGAUGCUCGAAAGUGUGGGUAUCAAACAGGAUUAGAUACCCGAGGAGUC
rnacentral:rRNA from 1 species